GAUGAACGCUAGCGGGAGGCCUAACACAUGCAAGCCGAGCGGUAUUGUUUCUUCGGCAAUGAGAGAGCGGCGUACGGGUGCGUAACACGUGUGCAACCUGCCUUUAUCUGGGGGAUAGCCUUUCGAAAGGAAGAUUAAUACUCCAUAAUAUAUUGAACGGCAUCGUUUAAUAUUGAAAGCUCCGGCGGAUAGUGAUGGGCACGCGCAAGAUUAGCUAGUUGGUGAGGUAACGGCUCACCAAGGCGAUGAUCUUUAGGGGGCCUGGGAGGGUGAUCCCCCAGAAUGGGACUGAGACACGGACCAGACUCCUACGGGAGGCAGCAGUGAGGAAUAUUAGUCGAUGGGUGCAAGCCUGAACCAGCCAUCCCGCGUGAAGGACGACUGCCCUAGGGAUUGUAAACUUCUUUUGAAUAGGGAUAAACCUACCCUCGUGAGGGUAGCUGAAGGUACUAUACGAAUAAGCACCGGCUAACUCCGUG
rnacentral:rRNA from 1 species